GCGUGAAGUCGGAAUCGCUAGUAAUCGCGGAUCAGCAUGCCGCGGUGAAUACGUUCCCGGGCCUUGUACACACCGCCCGUCACACCAUGAGAGUCGGGAACACCCGAAGCCCGUAGCCUAACUUUAACGAGAGGGCGCGGUCGAAGGUGGGUUCGAUAAUUGGGGUGAAGUCGUAACAAGGUACC
rnacentral:rRNA from 1 species